GCGUUAUUCGGAAUUAUUGGGCGUAAAGGGCGCGUAGGCGGCUUUGCAAGUGACGGGUGAAAUCCCUCGGCUUAACCGAGGAACUGCCUGUCAAACUGCAUGGCUUGAGACCGGGAGAGGUGAGUGGAAUUCCCAGUGUAGCGGUGAAAUGCGUAGAUAUUGGGAGGAACACCAGUGGCGAAGGCGGCUCACUGGACCGGUACUGACGCUGAGGCGCGAAAGCGUGGGGAGCAAACAGG
rnacentral:rRNA from 1 species